CCGGCCCCUUUCCAGCCCCUUCCCUGCCUUCCUCCUUUUCUCAGUCAUUCCAGGACCCAGGCAGAAAGUCACACAGAACACUGUGUGUCUGUCAGCAGAUUCCUGGAAGGUCACGCUGAAUGAUGAAUGCUCCCGGGCCCCUUCUGGCCAAAGCAGGAUGUCCGGGGUUGGCUGUGGCCAGGGAGCCCGUCCUUGUCCAGCUCUUUUUACCGUUGCUCUUUCUGCCCUCCUAUCUCCCACUCCCAGAACCUGAUGUGGUCCUGGGGACAGAGACCUGACUCCGCUGUGAUCCCAGGUGACUGUAUCUUAGCCCCAGUUCCCUCAUAAGGGGAGUCUUGCCUGGCAAGGAAAUGGGUUUCAUCUUCAACGUCUGGUGCUUUACCUUGGAUACCCUGGCCUUUGGCAUCCCUCUCCCUCUUCUCAACCACACAUAUGCUGCUGCUGGUCAAGUUCAAGAUUCCAGGCUCUGGAAUGUCUUCUUGGAUGACAUCAGCCAUGGUUCCAGUGAGUUCUGCCAACUUCAGGUCUUUCAAGACUUUCCAGUCAAAUCCUUCUGCAUCUCACAAAUGCAUAAAAAUAGAGCCACUGAAGCAAG
rnacentral:lncRNA from 1 species